GACAGAGUAAUGUAGUGGUUUGAGCACUGGACUAGAACUCUGGAGACCAGGGUUCAAAUUCCUGUUUUGACA